rnacentral:rRNA from 1 species
CGCCUCUUGAGUUUUCAUAAGAGGUCCAGCCUGCCCAGUGACCCUGUUCAACGGCCGCGGUAUCCUAACCGUGCGAAGGUAGCGUAAUCACUUGUUCUCUAAAUGUGGACUAGUAUGAAUGGCAUCACGAAGGUUACACUGUCUCCUUUUUCUAAUCAGUGAAACUAAUUUCCCCGUGAAGAAGCGGGGAUGAAACUAUAAGACGAGAAGACCCUAUGGAGCUUAAAACAGUACAGCAUCUGCCCCCAUAACACAUAAAUUUCUGAAUAAAGACUCUACUGGGCAGCGUGACUGCGAGUUUUUGGUUGGGGUGACCACGGAGCACAGUACAACCUCCAUGCUGAAAGAAAAUUUCUAAGCUGAGGUCUACAAACCUAAGCAUCAACAUAUUGACAUCCAUUGACCCAAUACACUUGAACAACGAACCAAGUUACCCUAGGGAUAACAGCGCAAUCCACUUCAAAAGCUCCUAUCGACAAGUGGGUUUACGACCUCGAUGUUGGAUCAGGGUCUCCCAGUGGUGCAGCCGCUACUAAAGGUUCGUUUGUUCAACGAUUAAAACCCU